rnacentral:rRNA from 1 species
GGCACGCCUUAUACAUGCAAGUCGAACGAAGUAGCAAUACUUAGUGGCAGACGGGUGAGUAACAUGUGGGUAUCUUCCCUUUGGUGAGGAAUAACACGAGGAAACUUGUGCUAAUACCUCAUAAGUCUUUACAGAGAAAGCUUUAUGCGCCGAAGGAUGAGCCCGCACUUGAUUAGUUUGUUGGUGGGGUAAUGGCCUACCAAGACUAUGAUCAAUAGCUGAUCUGAGAGGAUGAUCAGCCACAUUGGGACUGAGACACGGCCCAAACUCCUACGGGAGGCAGCAGUAGGGAAUAUUGCACAAUGGAGGAAACUCUGAUGCAGCGAUGCCGCGUGAGUGAAGAAGGCCUUUGGGUUGUAAAGCUCUUUCGUCGGGGAAGAAAAUGACUGUACCCGAAUAAGAAGGUCCGGCUAACUUCGUGCCAGCAGCCGCGGUAAUACGAAGGGACCUAGCGUAGUUCGGAAUUACUGGGCUUAAAGAGUUCGUAGGUGGUUAAAAUAGUUGGUUGUGAAAUCCCGGAGCUUAACUCCGGAACUGCAAUCAAAACUUUUUAGCUAGAGUAUGAUAGAGGAAAGCAGAAUUUCUAGUGUAGAGGUGAAAUUCGUAGAUAUUAGAAAGAAUACCAAUUGCGAAGGCAGCUUUCUGGAUCUUUACUGACACUGAGGAACGAAAGCAUGGGUAGCGAAGAGGAUUAGAUACCCUCGUAGUCCAUGCCGUAAACGAUGUGUGUUAGACGUUGGAAAUUUAUUUUCAGUGUCGCAGCGAAAGCAGUAAACACACCGCCUGGGGAGUACGACC